rnacentral:rRNA from 1 species
GUGGGGAAUAUUGGGCAAUGGGCGCAAGCCUGACCCAGCAACGCCCCGUGAAGGAAGAAGGCUUUCGGGUUGUAAACUUCUUUUACCAGGGACGAAACAAAUGACGGUACCUGGUGAAUAAGCCACGGCUAACUACGUGCCAGCAGCCGCGGUAAUACGUAGGUGGCGAGCGUUAUCCGGAUUUAUUGGGUGUAAAGGGCGUGUAGGCGGGACAGCAAGUCAGAUGUGAAAACCAGAGGCUCAACCUCUGGCCUGCAUUUGAAACUGUUGUUCUUGAGUGUCGGAGAGGUAAUCGGAAUUCCGUGUGUAGCGGUGAAAUGCGUAGAUAUACGGAGGAACACCAGUGGCGAAGGCGGAUUACUGGACGAUAACUGACGCUGAGGCGCGAAAGCGUGGGGAGCAAACAGGAUUAGAUACCCGUGUAGUCC